AGGAGAGAAAAUUAAGGAAUGUUCUUUACGGCAGUGUAGGAACUCCUACUGUUGCCUCUCGGGCUCCUUCCAGCGCGUCAGUUGAAGGGGCGCUGUGCGCCCAGACGAUGCUGGAAUUCUUUCCCUCUCCGGGCUCCACCUUGACUUGAGCCAUGGUUUUCAGCAGCUUCCGGGGACCGCCUGGGCUCCUGGAGGCGAUCUGGCCGUGGGUCUGCCCUCCUCCGCCGGCGCUGGCACCUCCUGGCUGGUUCAGGGUCCAUCAGGCAGCACUUUCGGUCGCACGUACCUCUCGUUGGGGUGACUGUAGCUCCAUCGCCGUCUCCGCCUGGACGUCUGGGUCUCGACAGCGUUUCUGGCCCCUCUCAACCCGGGAGCCAUCUCCGUGCCAGGGGCAAGCAUGGCGCAGCAUCCCGCACGCCCCGGGGUUCCAGUACCCGCACAACUGGGGACCUUGGCAGGAGGAGCGGCUCAGCGCCGGGAAGUUAUCCAGCGCCCAGGCCCAGGCCUGCUCUCGGUUCAGGCCCGGGGGCAUGCGGGGCUCCGGAUGGGCCCACCGGCAAAACAGUCCUUCCAGCGCGGGCAGAUGGGGGUCCAUGGCUUCAGGUCCAGAGCAGGUGGAGACGCACAGCCAGUCUAGGAGAAGCAGCAUUCUGCGCUGGGUGGGCCCUUUUAUAGCGCUCUGUAGUUCUCUUCCCAGAUCACAGAAGCCCUGUCUGGUAGUGGAGAUGAGACUGGUGAGGUUGGAUCGUCGCAGAUCACAAAGCUCGUUCAUGCUGGCGCUGGACUGAGAACCUAUCUACUAAGCAUGAGUAUCUGAUUUUACUUUCAAAUAAUCUCUACACCCAACAUGGGGCUUAACCUCACAACCACGAGAUCAAGAGUGGCAUGUUCUGACUGAGCCAGCCAGGUGCCUCCAGGCAACAAUGUUAGUUUGCAUUGCACAUGAUUUUUAGAUGAGACACGGGUAAAUAAAAAGAAAUUUCCCUCAUUAUCACAUUUUGAAACUUUACAGUUUUCCUUCUUAUAAGCCCUUCCAUCAAGAAUCAAGGAAGUUAUUUAAAGACAUUUUGAUUCUUUCUGCAUAUGUUAAUUUCAUUAACACAGGGAUCUUGGAGCAGAAGCCAGGAGGCCUGCUUUCCAGAACCUACUUUGAUCUUGGUAGGGUCGCUGUUGAUCUAGAUCAUACAUUGGAGCCUGACUCUAUGGCUGGAGGGCAGAGACAGCAGAGAAACUGAAGAUGUAGGAACUAUUCCUUAUCCAAGAAGAAAUAUAUCCCAUUUUACCAGAUUCCCAGAUUCCUGACUCAUUGCAUAUCCACUCCCAGACCUGUCCAGAUUUUAAGGCUGGCUUUGAGUGAGGCUGAAAUUAGCACUCCUUUGCCACUGGCCUCAUUGAACACUUUUUACCCGCCCUCCCAGGACCAAAAGGAGAGGAACACUCUUAAGUUCCCAGCACUAUUGGUGUCAAGGAUAGCUCUGGAUCAGAGCUUUGUCCCCUACCCUUUGCCCUUCUGCAGCUUAAUACCUUUAUUCCAAGUACUAAAGGGAGAGAAUAGGUACUUCCUCCCAGGUGUGUCCUCCCUCUCCUCUUUUCCUUCUUUUCUUUUAAUUCUAUCUACUAUUGAUAACAAAACAUUUGCAAAGGCCUAUAAAAACAACAUUCAUUGUAUUACUAAUGAGUACAUGAAGAGACUUUUACAAGUGAAACAUCUCUCUAAAGAGGAUAAACAAAUACAAGUUCCUAGGCUAACUCCUCAGUUUUCCUAAGACCAUAUGGUCAUGGCUCGGGGGCUUAAAAGUAGCAAAGUAGCCUGUAUCUUGGGAGCAUCAUUCUAGAAGUCCCCACUGUCAUAUGUCAGUCUCCAGGGGUGCUUCCAGAACUGUAUGGGUCUGGCCCAGAGAGGCUGCCAUGGUAGGUACCUGUCCCAGUGUUCUGAGGCACCCUGCUCUCCUGGGGCUGACUUUGACUCCUUCUGGCUCAUGGGUGAUGGUUCCUAGGCAGAGAUGUCUAAGUCUGGUUCCAAAGUAUUCUGGGCUCUAAACAAGCGUUGGUGUUGAGUGCAAGCCCAGCUCAGGAGUGCGCACAGACUGGCAAGUCCCCAGUUGGAAUGUAGACUGUCCCACCAUGUCUCCCCCAGCUUAGGGUAGAAAGGGAGUGGCCAUGGCCCCAAAUUUGUUGAGCUCAGAGACAAAGGUAUCUGGGGUUCUAGUGCCACCUCUGCAGAAUCCCAGGCUUGCUUCACACAGGGGCAAAGAAGCUGGUCCAUGACUUCAGCCUCUAGAUCUGGAGAAAUGGACUGUCUGCACUGAGAGAGGAGGCGAAAGAUGGAGCCCAGGGUGGGGAUUUAUACUGUUUCGUUUGUUGUGCGGUCCAGAAUGACAGUGCAGGCUGGUGACAUUACUUUUUGAGACAAAUUGCUUUAGAAGGCGGAGUCUGCUGAUGUUAAGUCAAAAAGUAUAAAUGUAUUGAUUACAAUUUUAUAAAGUUGAACUGGUCUCAGUGAUUAAUUGGAUUAAGGUUAAAAACAAGAAAGACCACAAAUGGGGUUACUGAUUACGAAAAAUCAGAUACAUUCUUGUGUCCCUUAUAUACUUGAUGUCUGAUGUUCUCAUCACCUGAAACCAAAGCACAGGCUAUGCUAGAGCCCAGAUGAAAACCUGGGUCUCCAGAGAGAAGAUUUCUGUAGAGGGCGUGGUAUGGAGAGGAGGUGGGGACCAAAGUAACUGAUCAAUUCUCUGGUCUUGACUUGGACUCUCAAUUUCCUGUUUUGGUCCUCUUUUGCAACUCCCAAAUGGUAAGAACUGAAACAAGAGAGAAAAAGGAGCUUUAGAUAUCAAAAGGUUGAAUAUUUUGGGUUCCAGAUCUUGUUUC
ensembl:lncRNA